rnacentral:tRNA from 1 species
GGGGAUAUAGCUCAGCUGGUUAGAGCACCUGCCUUACAAGCAGGGGGUCCACAGUUCGAAUCUGUGUAUCCCCACCA